rnacentral:rRNA from 1 species
GGGAGGUGGGCAACUACCCCCCAGGGCCGGAAAGCUCUCCAAACUCGGUCAUUUAGAGGAAGUAAAAGUCGUAACAAGGUCUCCGUUGGUGAACCAGCGGAGGGAUCAUUACCGAGUUUUCAACUCCCUAACCCUUCUGUGAACCUACCUAUCGUUGCUUCGGCGGACUCGCCCCAGCCCGGACGCGGACUGGACCAGCGGCCCGCCGGGGACCUCAAACUCUUGUAUUCCAGCAUCUUCUGAAUACGCCGCAAGGCAAAACAAAUGAAUCAAAACUUUCAACAACGGAUCUCUUGGCUCUGGCAUCGAUGAAGAACGCAGCGAAAUGCGAUAAGUAAUGUGAAUUGCAGAAUCCAGUGAAUCAUCGAAUCUUUGAACGCACAUUGCGCCCGCCAGCAUUCUGGCGGGCAUGCCUGUUCGAGCGUCAUUUCAACCCUCGACCUCCCCUGGGGGAGGUCGGCGUUGGGGACCGGCAGCACACCGCCGGCCCUGAAAUGGAGUGGCGGCCCGUCCGCGGCGACCUCUGCGUAGUAAUACAGCUCGCACCGGAACCCCGACGCGGCCACGCCGUAAAACACCCAACUUCUGAACGUUGACCUCGAAUCAGGUAGGACUACCCGCUGAACUUAAGCAUAUCAAUAAGCGGAGGAAAAGAAACCAACAGGGAUUGCCCCAGUAACGGCGAGUGAAGCGGCAACAGCUCAAAUUUGAAAUCUGGCUCUCAGGGCCCGAGUUGUAAUUUGUAGAGGAUGCUUUUGGCGAGGUGCCUUCCGAGUUCCCUGGAACGGGACGCCACAGAGGGUGAGAGCCCCGUAUGGUCGGACACCGAGCCUCUGUAAAGCUCCUUCGACGAGUCGAGUAGUUUGGGAAUGCUGCUCAAAAUGGGAGGUAUAUGUCUUCUAAAGCUAAAUAUUGGCCAGAGACCGAUAGCGCACAAGUAGAGUGAUCGAAAGAUGAAAAGCACUUUGAAAAGAGGGUUAAAAAGUACGUGAAAUUGUUGAAAGGGAAGCGCCUAUGACCAGACUUGCGCCCGGUGAAUCACCCAGCGUUCUCGCUGGUGCACUUUGCCGGGCA